GAUGAACGCUGGCGGCGUGCCUAAUACAUGCAAGUCGAACGAACAGACCCGGAGCUUGCUCCUCACUCGUUAGCCGCGCGCGGGUGAGUCACACGUGGAAACCCUACCUCUCUUCCUGAUAUACCUUCGGGAAUCCGGCUCUUAUCCCGUAUGACAUUUUUAUCCGUAUGUUUCAACAGUGAAAUACGGUUUUGCUGUCACUUCUAGAUCUAUCCGCUCCUCAUUAGCUUGUUGGUAAGCUAACGGCUUACCAAGGCAACGAUGCGUAGCCGACCGGAGAGGGUGAUCGGCCACACGGGAACUGAGACACGGUCUAGAAUCAUAAGGGAGGCAGCAGUAGGGAAGCUUGCGCAAGGGGCGAAAGUUUGACGGAGAAACGAAGCGUGAGUGAAGAAGGUCGUCGGAUCGAAAAACUCUGUCAUGAGGGAAGAACAAAUGGGUAAGUACCUAUGCACGUCGUGACGGUACCUAAUGAGAAAGCCACGGCUAACUACGUG
rnacentral:rRNA from 1 species